GCCUUAUCAAGAGCGGUGGAGGGAAGGGCCCGACGAAACCCGGCAACCAUAGAAGGUAUGGUGCUAAGUCCCACAGAAUGUUGAUUCUGAAAGAUGAGGA
rfam:Clostridium aceticum strain DSM 1496, complete genome.